AGGCCACCCCGCUCGACACGCCACUGCUCCCGAGUGUCCUCAAACGCCUGUCUGGGUGUUUUCUACCUGCUCAGUUUACUUUCACUUCCUGAACUUCGUGGAGUGGAGCUUGUUGUUGGUGUGUGAAGAAACUGAAGUGAUGCUUCACUUUCAGCCUUCUGUGGAUUUUCUUCAGUAAAAGCUGAAGUCAAACUGUCAACAUGUCAGCAGAAAACCUCACUUAUGACUGCUCAGGUGCGUGCGACUCCCCUGCAGUGGCGCUGCAGACCACGCCCCGCCACACACAUUAACAAGGUGAAGGUAGAAAGUGUGUGUGAGCUGAUGUGAAUUGAGCAGCAUGGAUCAGUGUGAGGACAG